AUGAACGCUGGCGGCGUGCCUAAUACAUGCAAGUCGAGCGAACAGACGAGGAGCUUGCUCCUCUGACGUUAGCGGCGGACGGGUGAGUAACACGUGGAUAACCUACCUAUAAGACUGGGAUAACUUCGGGAAACCGGAGCUAAUACCGGAUAAUAUAUUGAACCGCAUGGUUCAAUAGUGAAAGACGGUUUUGCUGUCACUUAUAGAUGGAUCCGCGCCGCAUUAGCUAGUUGGUAAGGUAACGGCUUACCAAGGCGACGAUGCGUAGCCGACCUGAGAGGGUGAUCGGCCACACUGGAACUGAGACACGGUCCAGACUCCUACGGGAGGCAGCAGUAGGGAAUCUUCCGCAAUGGGCGAAAGCCUGACGGAGCAACGCCGCGUGAGUGAUGAAGGUCUUCGGAUCGUAAAACUCUGUUAUUAGGGAAGAACAAAUGUGUAAGUAACUAAGCACGUCUUGACGGUACCUAAUCAGAAAGCCACGGCUAACUACGUG
rnacentral:rRNA from 1 species